AUUGAACGCUGGCGGCAUGCCUUACACAUGCAAGUCGAACGGUAACAGGUCUUCGGAUGCUGACGAGUGGCGAACGGGUGAGUAAUACAUCGGAACGUGCCCAGACGUGGGGGAUAACGAGGCGAAAGCUUUGCUAAUACCGCAUACGAUCUAAGGAUGAAAGCAGGGGACCGCAAGGCCUUGCGCGUUUGGAGCGGCCGAUGGCAGAUUAGGUAGUUGGUGGGAUAAAAGCUUACCAAGCCGACGAUCUGUAGCUGGUCUGAGAGGACGACCAGCCACACUGGGACUGAGACACGGCCCAGACUCCUACGGGAGGCAGCAGUGGGGAAUUUUAGACAAUGGGCGAAAGCCUGAUCCAGCAAUGCCGCGUGCAGGAUGAAGGCCUUCGGGUUGUAAACUGCUUUUGUACGGAACGAAAAGGCUCUGGCUAAUACCUGGGGCACAUGACGGUACCGUAAGAAUAAGCACCGGCUAACUACGUG
rnacentral:rRNA from 1 species